CAUGCAGUCGAGCGGUAGAGAGAAGCUUGCUUCUCUUGAGAGCGGCGGACGGGUGAGUAAUGCCUAGGAAUCUGCCUGAUAGUGGGGGAUAACGUUCGGAAACGGACGCUAAUACCGCAUACGUCCUACGGGAGAAAGCAGGGGACCUUCGGGCCUUGCGCUAUCAGAUGAGCCUAGGUCGGAUUAGCUAGUUGGUGAGGUAAUGGCUCACCAAGGCUACGAUCCGUAACUGGUCUGAGAGGAUGAUCAGUCACACUGGAACUGAGACACGGUCCAGACUCCUACGGGAGGCAGCAGUGGGGAAUAUUGGACAAUGGGCGAAAGCCUGAUCCAGCCAUGCCGCGUGUGUGAAGAAGGUCUUCGGAUUGUAAAGCACUUUAAGUUGGGAGGAAGGGCAGUUACUUAAUACUCUGCUGUUUUGACGUUACCGACAGAAUAAGCACCGGCUAACUCUGUGCCAGCAGCCGCGGUAAUACAGAGGGUGCAAGCGUUAAUCGGAAUUACUGGGCGUAAAGCGCGCGUAGGUGGUUUGUUAAGUUGAAUGUGAAAUCCCCGGGCUCAACCUGGGAACUGCAUCCAAAACUGACUGACUAGAGUAUGGUAGAGGGUGGUGGAAUUUCCUGUGUAGCGGUGAAAUGCGUAGAUAUAGGAAGGAACACCAGUGGCGAAGGCGACUACCUGGACUGAUACUGACACUGAGGUGCGAAAGCGUGGGGAGCAAACAGGAUUAGAUACCCUGGUAGUCCACGCCGUAAACGAUGUCAACUAGCCGUUGGAAGUCUUGAACUCUUAGUGGCGCAGCUAACGCAUUAAGUUG
rnacentral:rRNA from 1 species